AUUGAACGCUGGCGGCAGGCUUAACACAUGCAAGUCGAGCGAGCGGCGGACGGGUGAAUAAUGUCUGGGAAACUGCCUGAUGGAGGGGGAUAACUACUGGAAACGGUAGCUAAUACCGCAUACCAUCAGAUUUGCCCAGAUGGGAUUAGCUGGUAGGUGGGGUAAUGGCUCACCUAGGCGAAGAUCCCUAGCUGGUCUGAGAGGAUGACCAGCCACACGGGAACGGAGACACGGUCCAGACUCCUACGGGAGGCAGCGUUGGGGAAUAUUGCACAAUGGGCGCAAGCCGGAUGCAGCCAUGCCGCGGGGGGGAAGAAGGCCUUCGGGUUGUAAAGCACUUUCAGCGAGGAGGCGUUACUCGCAGAAGAAGCACCGGCUAACUCCGUGCCAGCAGCCGCGGUAAUUC
rnacentral:rRNA from 1 species